rnacentral:lncRNA from 1 species
AUGGCAUCCACCACAUUGUUGAUUCUCCAUGCCAGACUCAAAAUGAGACUGCUUCAAUCUUGGUUUCUCAUGCUGUUCGACCCCAUGUCAGACCUUCCAACCAAAAGACUGCCAGUCCCUCGCGACCUAGUCACUCAACUCGCAUGGUGGACUCACCUUCCACACCUGCUGACUGGCAGACCCUUUCUGCCCUUCCAGCCCACCAUUCAGGUCACCACCGACGCCAGCCCAUCCGGCUGGGGUGCCCACUGCUUUUCUCACAGGAUCCACCAGCUGUGGUCAAAACAGGAACAAACUCUCCGCAUAAACCACUUGGAACUUUUGGCUAUUAUCAGAGCCUUCAUUGCCUUUCUCCCACUCAUCAAGGGACAAGUGGUCCAACUGGCCACAGACAACACAACAGCACUUUUCUAUGUAAACAAGCAGGGAGGAAUACACUCCCGCUCCUUACUUUAUCUGGUUGUCAGCCUUUGGGAAUGUUGCUACCGCAAACACAUCUACCCCAUAGCUGUCCAUAUUACCACGGAAGAUAACUACAUUGCCGAUCGCCUUAGUCGUCUCCCUUCAACGACACACGAAUGGUCCCUGAAGGACUCCAUAUUCCACCAACUGUGUCAUCAUUGGGGCUCCCUGCCAAUCGACCUCUGCAACCAGCAGCGAUCGAAAAUGCCAGAUCUUCUGCUCCAGAGCCGGAGCGGACAAAUCCUCAUUCGAGGAUGCCUUCAUGGUGGACUGGUCCAAGGACUUCCUUUACCUUUUCCCACCAAUCCUGCUCAUUCAACACGUGAUCACCCGGCUCAAACAGUCCAACGCCCAUGCCAUUUUCAUAGCUCCAAAGUGGCCUCGGCAACCCUGGUUUACUCACCUGGACUCCCUGUCCAUGGACUGGAUUCAUCUUCCGCUGGUCCCGAACCUUCUCAGUGUCAACCAGAGCAUGAUCCAUCACCCGGAUGUAGCCUCCCUCAAUCUCAUAGCGUGGAAGAUAUCCCCAAAAUCAUGGUGGUGCUUCACCGAGCCUGUAAACCUUCUAUCGUCUCCCUGUAUGAGAGCAAGUGGAAAGUCUUCCUUAAAUAUUGUGCUGAGCACAACUUACCUACUACACCAGUUUCACUUGCAACCUUACUUACCUUCCUUCUUCACCUCUUCCACAACAGCCUCACUCUGUCCACACUAAAGGUGUACAUCUCCGCCAUCGUUGCUCACCAACCAACCAAUUCUCCAUCAGCAAAACUCUUCUCACAUCCGACACUAAAGAGGUUCCUUAAAGGACUUUGUAACACUCGACCACCACUUCAGUGUAUACUUUCUCAAUAG